rnacentral:lncRNA from 1 species
UUAGAGACAUUUAAGAAUUAUUCGAAUUUUAAAAAUGACUUAUAGCAACAACAUAAUCAUUUUUUUUGACACAGCAACAACAUAAUCAUUAAAAACUACUUAGUUGAUGUAAACAUAACAAAAAGUUUUACUAUAUAAAGUAAUCAAACCAGUUUAUAUUUGUUACAUACAAACGUGAAAAGAUGGCUGAAACUCUCAAGUUUGCGUAUAUUGUGAUCCUUUUUGUUUCUCUUUUUAUCAUUGCAGUCGUUGGUCUUAGUAAGCUUAUUCUCACAUUAUUUUUUGUUUAUUUUAUGCACAAUAUUUCACCCAUUUUGAUAAUAUUUCCUUAUUCUUAUUGUACAUUACAGAAGAGUGUGAUACUGAUGAAGAUUGCGCUAAAUUAUACGUAAAUAUUAAACCUGAAUUACUGAGGUGCAUGGAAAAUCAUUGCUUUGGACAUGGCUUUCAUCCCGAUUUUGGCAUAGAUCUUUAAAAGCAUAUGUACGUCAAACAUUCUUUUGAAUGGAGUAUAUAUAUAUAUAUAGACAAAAUUUACAUGCAUUUCCAUACAUGCAUUUCUUACUUUUCCACUCACAAAGAGGUGGUUAUUUGUGUUUUUUCAUUUUGAAAAAAUAAAAGAAAAUUAUUUUUUAAUAAAAAAAACUACCUCUUUGUGAGAGGAAAAGUAAGAAAUGCAUGUAUGGAAAUGCAUGUAAGUUUUGUCCAAUUAAUAAUCACUUAUUUCCCUGCUUUGCUGAUGGGUUGAUGUGUUGAGCCCAUGAUGGGUGUCAUGGUUGGGCUGAGAUCGCAAUCGCUGGGCCAAAAUUGUAUUUUUCUCUUUUUUUAAUUAUUUUUUCACCCCUUUUUAAUCACUUGACGCACAAGUGCUUUUAAUCAACAUGUACCUGAAAUAAAUACAAAAUACCGGCAUAACAUUGCAAAAUCUAUGAAAUCGAGUUCAAAACAUGUGUAAGUCAAGCUAAAAUAGUAGUCCGAUGAUUAUAAAUGUAAUUGGCUUCAAUAUCUGGUAUACUAUGAUUAGUAUGAAUGAUGAUGUAUAUUUAUGAUUUAUGAAUAUACAUGAGAUGUGAUGAAGUGUUUAAGUAUCGUUUACUUACACUUAUAUAUUUUGAGUAUGUUAUCUAACUCUCUUUUAUGUGUUAUGUGCUGGACAUUUGGGAGUCCAGAUUCACAGGUUUUGUGUAUAUCGAUGUCGAGUCGUCGGUGAAGCUCCGCUCUGAUUGUGACACGGGAAAAAGGGUUUUAUAUUGUAUAUUAAUUCUAUUGUCUAGGUUAUUUUGUAUAAUCAAUAUACAUUAUUUGAUUCAAAGAUUUGUAUAAACAAGCAUUUAUACUAAUUAACUACAUUAAUAUUAUUUUGGUUGAAAAAUGUAAUACUCGAACCGAUAUUCUAUAAAUUAA